rnacentral:rRNA from 1 species
AUACGUAGGGUGCGAGCGUUGUCCGGAAUUACUGGGCGUAAAGAGCUCGUAGGUGGUUUGUCGCGUCGUCUGUGAAAUUCCGGGGCUUAACUCCGGGCGUGCAGGCGAUACGGGCAUAACUUGAGUACUGUAGGGGAGACUGGAAUUCCUGGUGUAGCGGUGAAAUGGGCAGAUAUCAGGAGGAACACCGGUGGCGAAGGCGGGUCUCUGGGCAGAAACUGACGCGGAGGAGCGAAAGCAUGGGUAGCGAACAGGAUUAGAUACCCUGGUAGUCCAUGCCGUAAACGGUGGGCGCUAGGUGUAGGGGUCUUCCACGACUUCUGUGCCGUAGCUAACGCAUUAAGCGCCCCGCCUGGGGAGUACGGCCGCAAGGUUGAAACUCAAAUGAAUUGACGUGG